rnacentral:rRNA from 1 species
UGACGGUACUUUAUUAGAAAGCCACGGCUAACUACGUGCCAGCAGCCGCGGUAAUACGUAGGUGGCAAGCGUUAUCCGGAAUUAUUGGGCGUAAAGAGGGAGCAGGCGGCAGCAAGGGUCUGUGGUGAAAGCCUGAAGCUUAACUUCAGUAAGCCAUAGAAACCAGGCAGCUAGAGUGCAGGAGAGGAUCGUGGAAUUCCAUGUGUAGCGGUGAAAUGCGUAGAUAUAUGGAGGAACACCAGUGGCGAAGGCGACGAUCUGGCCUGCAACUGACGCUCAGUCCCGAAAGCGUGGGGAGCAAAUAGGAUUAGAUACCCUAGUAGUCCACGCCGUAAACGAUGAGUACUAAGUGUUGGAUGUCAAAGUUCAGUGCUGCAGUUAACGCAAUAAGUACUCCGCCUGAGUAGUACGUUCGCAAGAAUGAAACUCAAAGGAAUUGACGGGGGCCCGCACAAGCGGUGGAGCAUGUGGUUUAAUUCGAAGCAACGCGAAGAACCUUACCAGGUCUUGACAUACUCAUAAAGGCUCCAGAGAUGGAGAGAUAGCUAUAUGAGAUACAGGUGGUGCAUGGUUGUCGUCAGCUCGUGUCGUGAGAUGUUGGGUUAAGUCCCGCAACGAGCGCAACCCUUAUCGUUAGUUACCAUCAUUAAGUUGGGGACUCUAGCGAGACUGCCAGUGACAAGCUGGAGGAAGGCGGGGAUGACGUCAAAUCAUCAUGCCCCUUAUGACCUGGGCUACACACGUGCUACAAUGGAUGGUGCAGAGGGAAGCGAAGCCGCGAGGUGAAGCAAAACCCAUAAAACCAUUCUCAGUUCGGAUUGUAGUCUGCAACUCGACUACAUGAAGUUGGAAUCGCUAGUAAUCGCGAAUCAGCAUGUCGCGGUGAAUACGUUCUCGGGCCUUGUACACACCGCCCGUCACACCACG